rnacentral:rRNA from 1 species
GCGAACGCUGGCGGCAGGCUUAACACAUGCAAGUCGAGCGGGCGUAGCAAGUACGUCAGCGGCAGACGGGUGAGUAACGCGUGGGAACGUACCUUUUGGUUCGGAACAACACAGGGAAACGUUGUGCUAAUAACCGGAGUAAGCCCUUACCGGGGAAAGAUUUAUCGCCGAAAGAUCGGCCCGCGUCGUGAUUAGCUAGUUGGUGAGGUAACGGCUCACCAAGGCGCGAUCAGUAGCUGGUCNGAGAGGAUGAUCAGCCACAUUGGGACUGAGACACGGCCCAAACUCCUACGGGAGGCGAGCAGUGGGGAAGUAUUGGUACAAUGGGGCGCAAGCCUGAGUCCUAGCCAUGGCCGCGUGAGUGAUG